UCCAGAAGGAGAGGUGUUGGAGAAACAGCCAAAGAGGAAAAGGGCUGGGGAGUAUUAACUGUGAAAGAAGUUAUAUGACCUGCCGACUCGGAGGUUGCUCUGGUUCUGCUCGACAGAGGCCACCAGUGGGUUUUGGAAAAUCCUAAAACUGCCUACAGAAGAGUAUCAAAGCCACAAUGGAUCUAUUGUUGACCUUCAUGACCAAGUAACUGUACAAUAGCCUGAUUCCUCAGCCAAGAGACUAAUAAAGCUAAUGGAGUGAAAGAGAGUCAAGAGAAUAGGGGGAGGAAACCAGGAGACAGCAUUGCAAAG